ACCUUUCUGAAUCCGUGUUGAAAUUUUAUCAGAUACAAGGCCAUCAGUACUGAUGAAGCUCUCAAGAUAAGUGAAGCG
rnacentral:pre_miRNA from 1 species